rnacentral:tRNA from 1 species
UGGGUUGUAGCCCAGUGGUAGGGCACUUACCUAGCAUGUGGGAGGCACUGAGUUUGAUCCCCAGCACCACAU